CGUGUAGGUGGUACUGUAAGUAGGGCGUGAAAGCUCCCGGCUCAACUGGGAGAGGCCGUUCUAAACUACAGAACUAGAGGAUGGUAGAGGGAGGUGGAAUUCCAGGUGUAGCGGUGGAAUGCGCAGAUAUCUGGAGGAACACCGGUGGCGAAGGCGGCCUCCUGGACCAUUCCUGACACUCAGACGCGAAAGCUAGGGUAGCAAACG
rnacentral:rRNA from 1 species